UUUUUAGCCAUGGCGGCCAUCUUGGAUGGUUGGCCAGGUCACCGGACACAUUUUUUAAACUAGAUACCCCAAUGAUGAUUUUGGCCAAGUUUGGUGUAAUUUGGCCCAGUAGUUUCAGAGGAGAAGAUUUUUGUAAAAGUUAACGACGCCAGACGACGACGGACGACGGACGACAGACGACGGACGACGGACGACGGACGCUAAGUGAUGGGAAAAGCUCACUUGGCCCUUUGGGCCAGGUGAGCUAAAAAUG
rnacentral:lncRNA from 1 species